ensembl:lncRNA
AUGGGAAAUGGUAGCAGUCGACGCUGGCGCAUAAAGAGCAAGAUGCCACCUGGGACUCCUGCCAGACCAACGGCCCCUGUUCCAGAAAACAAAUCAAAGGUGGACACUAUGGAGGAGACAAGUGUUCAAGCCACUAAACAGCUGUCUUCAUCACUAAGUAUUGGAGCUCUGUUUUCUGUAUUUGGACGUGUUAUGCGAAAAUGCAGAAAGACAAUUAAUCAAAUCUGUUCUGGUCUCCUGAACGUCGUAUUUUUCUGGAGAGGCUAUUCAGAAAGAGUGGAGUACCUUCACCAAAAAGUAGAGGAGCUGCAAAGAGAAAUAGCACUAUUGCAUUCCACUUUGAAGGAAGCCAAGACUGUAGGCCGUCAGUGUGAAAUGCCUGAUGGUGCUCAGCACUCUCCACCUCCGCCACCACCACCUCCUCCUCUUCCUCCUCCUCAAAUUCUGUUGACACUUGCUGCUCCGAAGAUGGCCUCACUUCCUCCAAGACCUGCACAAACUAGCUCUCUGAAGGAGAAGCAAAAUGGCCUCGCUGCUGUGACUCUUCGAGAUCUUCAAGCAGUACGACUAAAGAAAGUGACUGUAGGCCAAAAAAAGCAGGUGUCUCCACAGAGAAGAAGAUCACCAGUGGUCACACUCGCAGACUUGCAGAAAGUCUGUUUACGACGCUCUAAUUCUGACCUCCCCUUGAAGUCUAGAUCAGGCCUUUGCAGGACUGUCUCUAGGACACCAACCAAAAAUCCCAUGAAUCUUCGGGUACAGCUUCGAAAAGUCAACUUAAUGAGGAGUCCUGGUGGCACACCGCUAGGUAACAAAGAGAAGGAUGUGAUGGAUUCAAGCCUGGAUCCAAGCAUGACCAAAGGUUUAGGAAACCAGUACCUGAGUACUUUAACAAAAGGACUAUCACCAUUCAAGGCUGUCUAAACAAAGAAAUUGGCUGUUUUAUUUUUAUUGCAUGGCCAGUCUUGUGUUCUUGUUGGCUUGUUUUUACAUGUGUACUGUGACUGUGCUAAUAGCUUUGGUUCUCAUACUGUCAUGUUACUACGGUAACUAUUUUAGUGGCAGGUCAGUAUUUGAAGUUACUCGCUGCUAUGUUAUUUUAUAUACUUGUUGCAUGUGAAAUGUGCUACCUGCUGCUUUUAUAUCAGAACCCCCCUUUUCAAAACAUGCUCACAAGCUAAAUAACAAAUGCACACUGUAGGCAAAUUAAAUGCACGUCAUCUUGAGCAUGUUUUCAGAUAUGGUUAAUUGUAUAAUUAGUAGAACUACAUAAUUGAACAUGGUUCAGCGUCACUGUUACUGAAAAUGACUGUGGAAUGUGCAAACUAACUUAAAAUGUAGUACUGUAUUGAAGUCUGUACAGGUGUGAGACAAGUCAGUUAUUGAUCUAUAAAUUUAGUACGCCAUUGAUAUCUUGUGUGUGUGUGUGUGUGUGGUAAAACGUGAAGCACAGCUUGGCGUAACCAGCAGUGUUACUGUGAGACUCAGGAUGUUUUAUUUCUAUGUAUUACUGUAUGUUUACCGGUGGACUUGAGCCCAAUUACAUGUUACAAUGUCUUCAUUUUUUAUUUUAAGGGUCUUUUGCAAUAUUUUUCUAAAGCCACUUUUAUUUUAUAUAGCAAUUAAUAAAAAACGUUUAAUACAUAUUGCAAUUAAUAAAAAACGUUUAAUACAUAUUGCAAUUAAUAAAAAACGUUUAAUAAAUAUUGUACCUACAGAAAAUGUGUGUGUGUUUUAUUUAUUAUUUACAGUGCAAAUUAGUUCAUUUAUAUAAAGACAAAGUAAAGGUUUAAUUUCUGGUUUACAAAAUGUACAUUGUUAUUUUAGUAUUAUUUAUAUACUAUUAAAGAAUUUAUUAAUACAUUUUAGUUUAGGUUUUAAUAAUUUUAUGUGCUUUUAAUUUUAGAAACUUUUAUUUCUUUAGUCGUUUUAAUACUUUAACAAACUUAUUGCAAUUAGCUGCAAAAGCAACAGUUCUGAUUUACCUUUAAGAUUUUUAUCUAAUAUUUAAAUAUAGUAUUCAUCAAAAUUUUGAAUUAGCUUGUAUUUGUAUAUUUUCAGUUUUCCUCUUAAUUUUAGCUGUAGUUAUUUUGUGCUUUUGUUUGUGCGUUUUUAUAUUUCUAUUCAGCUUUAAGUUACGUUUUAAUAUUUUAACUAAAUCUUAUUUUAGUUAGGUGACAAGCCAACAAUUCUAAUUUUCCUUUUAAGUGUUAUCUAACUUUUAUAUUAUAUUGAAUUUUAGUAUUUUAAUUACCGAAAACGAUUUUUUUUUAACAUAUCAGGUUUAGUUAACAAUAAAAACACUCUAUAUUUCUAAAAAAAAAUACUAUUUACAUAUUACAUUUUGCAUGCUUUUUGUCCGGACAUUAACUUGAAGAUUUAUGUAUCCACCCGGACUCUUCUUCUGCGCUCAGAGCAUGUCAAAGCCCCGCCCC